ensembl:lncRNA
CCCAGCUCCAGCCUCCCCGCCUGUCGCAGCUUGCCAUUCCUGCCCGCCCCGCCGCGCCGUGCCCGGCUGGCUGAGCUCGAGAACUGCAGGCAGCAAAUGGGGGCCCACGAGGGGCGAAAAAAGACCUCGAGCAACCCACCCGGUGGCAUCGCAGCAGGGCUGGGAGCCCUGUUUUGGCGUUUUACUGCAAAGCACGUGUGUUUGUGAGCUGCGGCAGCAGGCAGUCUGUUUCCCCAAAGUUUGGACGUGAAAUCUUUAAACCCAUUUCACUGGUGGGGAAAUUGAGGCAUGGAGCAGAGAUGCAACUUGUCCAGGGCUACCACGGGAGAUUGGAGGAGAAGCCCUCGGCUCCAUGAUCUGGAUGGCACCAGCCCCAUGUGCUCCUCCCUGCCAGCACUGCAUCCCCCUGCCCGGCCCCGCUGCCCCCGCACCAGGGCUGGUGCACUCAAAUGAAGACCACAUGACUGGAGGGAAUUAAAUAAUUGAUGGCCCAGAAGCCUCCAGCAGCUUACAAAUCUCUAGGGGCUGCAAAGCAGAGCCCUAGAGCAGCCCCAUCUUUCUGGUAUGAUGCCAGCCUGCCUCGUUCCUGCCCUGCCUGCUGGGGCUCGGGGGGGAGAGCACCUCACUCUGAGCUCACCCCAUGCACUGCUGCUGGGGCCAGGCUGAGCCCCUGCACCUGCCCAGGCUUGGUAGGGUGGUCACACCCUUGAAAAGAGCAGGAUGAGCAGAAAGGAGGGAAAAAGCCGACAAAAUCAAGGCGAGUGCACAGUUCUCCUCUACAAGAGUGUCAGGCUGCAAGAAAGCGGCGACCUCCAAGUGAGCAAGUGACAGCUCUCCUAUCACAGCCAAGUGGCCUCUUUGCAUGGGGAACAGCUUGAAAAUCUGCAAUAAAAGACAACCAGACAAAUGCCUUUUUGUCCAUGGGCAUGGCGGGGUCUGGGCAGAGGCAGGAGGAGGUGUUCCUGGCCAGAGCUCGACGUGGAGCUGUGGUGUGAAGCAUCUCCCUGCGCUGGACAUCUUUGUCUGUGGAUAUCGAAUCUGCUAAUAAAAGUGGUGCAUGACUGAAUUGAAUAUUUAAUUUAAUUUACGCUAACCAGGGGGAGGUUGGCGUUUUGUCCAAUGGAAAAUGAUGGCAGCUCUCUCUUUCUUUUGAACAGAUUCUUCAUGAAAAGUUGUGGUUUUGCUCUUGGUUUUUUUUUUUCCCCCUUUGGAUUUCUUCACGUCCUUUAGAUGAUGCCGUUGUGAUCUAUUUUAAUAACAGUUUUCAUUUUGCCAGCUCAGGAAUCUAAUGAAUGAGCUGUUUGAAUAACUAUUUGGACAAGUAUUAAGAAAAAAAGAAGAGAGAAGCAGAAUCCAUUUCAAAUCCUCUGAACCGAGUCCCCCCUCCACCAAUUUCAGUAAUUUGGAGAGUAGUUUCUUCCUUUUUUUUUUCCCCAGCACAGUAGAUGAAACAGUUGAAAGUGUUUGAAGCUGUCAAGAAAUGCAUUUCCAGCGAUUGAUGUCACCAACAAAUAAAUUGGCAGAUUUUUCACGCUGGGUCAACGUGUAGCGAUAAGCACGAUGCCAUACCUUUAGGAGCCUUAUUUGUUGGUAAACAGAUGGGAAGCAGCCCGUCGUGUCCGUAGUCAAUAACAUACAGCAAGAGUGCAUCCAUGGGACGGCUCUCGCAGCAAUAAAUCACGUCUUGCUGGCGGAGCCCAGAUCAUCCGGUGUGCAGACACUGUUGUGGGCAAUGCGCACGAUGUGGAGUAUCACAAUGAAUAAUUUAGAGAGCAUCCUUGUUCAUCUCUCUUAAGCUGUCCAUUGAGUCGUUUCUGCUGCUCCCAUUUCGAGUGGCCAGAGGAAUCCUUCCUAUUUUCCAUGCCAAAUAUAGCAGUUUUUCCAGAAUUGCUAAGAGCACACAAGCCAGGAAGUUUCCCUUCUCUGGAUGAGUCACUGGAAGUUCAGGCUGCGAUUGCACGAUUGCUUCAAGCUGAUCGAAAUCUAUGCUGCUGCCAAGAGGAGCUGUGCAGCCAGCAGCCUCGCAGCCUCUCCGUGCAGCAGGGGUCAAGGAAAAGAAGCCCUGCCCUUUUCUUUUUGCUGAUUGUGGGGUUACUUCGGCCCAAACCUGGCUGUCUCAUCUUGGGGCUGCUUGGACUCGAGAGGAGAUGUACGUUCUUAGGGUGUCCCUUAUACCUGCAGGACCAAAGGCAGUGGUGGAUGGAGUAUGAAGACAGUGGGACAAGUCUGGAGCUCAGCACCUCAUUAAAUAGAGCAAGAAGAGAGCCCAGGAGAAGGUGUGCAUGUAACAGAGCCUCAUGGUGGAGAAUGCAUCCUGACUGGCUCUUGUUCCUGCUCUUGGCUGGUUGAGGAUGAGCACCCAGCUGCUGAAGUCACUCCAUGGGACACCAUGGAUGGUGCCCACCCCACUGCACAAGAGCAAUGAAAGCAAGAGCUGGGCACAAGCAGCACACAGCCAUUGGGUCCUGGGUGCUCCUGCACGGCUAGUGCUAUCGCAUGAAUUGCUCAUGAUAAAUGGUCCCUCUAUAUCCCCAGCAUGAUGUUGCUGCACUUUGUGCUGGAAGAAACAGUGAGGUCCUGCUUGGGGUCUUCCUGGCUUGGCAUCACCUUUCUGCAGCCAGCCUGGCCCCAUGGUUCUGCAAAGAUCCCACAGGCUGCAAAACCUUCCCACAUCCUAUUUAAUGAGCAGGGGGCUUCGCACGAAAGCUGGAACAAGUGCUAGCAGGAGCUUUUGCUCGGCUUGCAUACUCCAGCCAGCCCUAGCCGAACUUUGCUGCUCGGUAUUUGUGUUUGUUUCCUCACUGUUGCCUGGGCUUUGGUGGAAGAUUUCUCUCUUUGGGAGGGAAAAGGCAUCUGGGUUUGGUGGCAUGCCUCUCCUCCAGCCCACACGGAUGAGGAUGAGCUCAGGGCUGAGCAGUGACUCCCACCAUCCCAUGAAGGUAUCAGCAGGGAGGUGAGCCCCUCCUUGGAUGGAGCAUCCCGAAGCAGAUUCCCAAG